UAUUGCUAAAAGCUAUAAUUUCAUUUCAGUUUCUAAAUACAAUAUUUCAGUAGAUUUUUACUUACAUCGGUCACCCUAGUUUAACUCCGAAUUCAACUCCCAAUGACACUUAUCGCCGGACGUGCGGGCAACUAUCGAAGAUAACCUACAAAUUAAGGCCCCUUUUUACAGCAGCAGAUGAGGAGAGCAGUUCCCCUGCGAUCUUCCUGAUUAGAUUAAGUUAGGAUUAGUUUUAGAUAAGUUAUCUCUCCAACACCUACUCACGAGUGUAGUUGCACAAAAAGAAUAAAAAUCAACUAAAUGCA